CUGGGGAAUUCCGGGGCGGAGCCUGUCUGGAGCGGAAGAGCCUGGGCGGCGCACCAGCACCGGGUGGGGGUGCGGGUCUGCGGCCUUCGAGUUCUGGGGCGGCGGCGACAGCGGCGGCGGCGGGCGCGGGCACGGGCACGGGGCGCGGAGCGGGCAGGAGGCGCGCGCCGGACGGCGGAGUGCGGCGUGAGGCCGGGCCCGCGCGGCCAUGAACCUAGAGCGGCUGCGGAAGCGCGUCCGGCAGUACCUCGACCAGCAACAGUAUCAAAGUGCUCUAUUUUGGGCAGAUAAAGUAGCUUCACUCUCUCAUGAGGAACCCCAGGACAUCUAUUGGUUGGCUCAAUGUCUUUACCUGACAGCACAAUAUCACAGAGCCGCCCAUGCACUCCGGUCACGAAAACUGGACAAAUUGUAUGAAGCAUGUCGUUACCUUGCAGCUAGGUGCCAUUAUGCUGCAAAAGAGCACCAGCAGGCCCUUGAUAUUCUUGAUAUGGAAGAGCCAAUCAACAAAAGAUUAUUUGAAAAAUACUUGAAGGAUGAAAGUGGCUUCAAAGAUCCCUCCAGUGACUGGGAAAUGUCACAGUCUUCAAUAAAGAGUUCUAUUUGUCUUCUACGCGGGAAAAUCUAUGAUGCUCUAGAUAACCGAACUCUGGCUACCUACAGCUACAAAGAAGCUUUGAAGCUCGAUGUCUACUGUUUUGAAGCAUUUGAUCUUUUGACAUCACACCACAUGUUGACAGCACAAGAAGAAAAAGAACUUCUUGAAUCACUACCUCUUAGCAAGCUGUGUAAUGAAGAACAGGAAUUGCUGCGUUUUCUAUUUGAGAACAAAUUGAAAAAAUAUAAUAAGCCUAGUGAAACGGUCAUCCCUGAGUCUGUAGAUGGCUUGCAAGAGAAUCUGGAUGUAGUAGUGUCUUUAGCUGAGCGACAUUAUUAUAACUGUGAUUUUAAAAUGUGCUACAAACUUACUUCUGUAGUAAUGGAGAAAGAUCCUUUCCAUGCAAGUUGUUUACCUGUACAUAUAGGGACGCUUGUAGAGCUGAAUAAAGCCAAUGAACUUUUCUAUCUUUCACAUAAACUGGUGGAUUUAUAUCCUAGUAAUCCUGUGUCUUGGUUUGCAGUGGGAUGUUACUAUCUCAUGGUCGGUCAUAAAAAUGAACAUGCCAGAAGAUAUCUCAGCAAAGCCACAACACUUGAGAAAACCUACGGACCUGCAUGGAUAGCCUAUGGACAUUCGUUUGCGGUGGAGAGUGAGCAUGACCAAGCGAUGGCUGCUUACUUCACAGCAGCACAGCUGAUGAAAGGGUGUCAUUUGCCUAUGCUGUAUAUUGGAUUAGAAUAUGGUUUGACCAAUAACUCAAAACUAGCUGAAAGGUUCUUCAGCCAAGCUCUGAGCAUUGCACCGGAAGACCCUUUUGUUAUGCAUGAGGUCGGCGUGGUUGCAUUUCAGAAUGGAGAAUGGAAAACAGCCGAAAAAUGGUUUCUUGAUGCUUUGGAAAAAAUUAAAGCAAUUGGGAACGAGGUAACAGUUGACAAAUGGGAACCUUUGUUGAACAACUUGGGGCAUGUCUGCAGAAAACUUAAAAAGUACGCCGAGGCCUUGGAUUACCACCGCCAGGCACUGGUGUUGAUUCCUCAGAACGCAUCCACCUACUCCGCUAUCGGAUAUAUCCACAGUCUGAUGGGCAACUUUGAAAAUGCUGUGGACUACUUCCACACAGCCCUUGGUCUUAGGCGAGAUGAUACAUUUUCUGUUACAAUGCUUGGUCAUUGCAUCGAAAUGUACAUUGGUGAUUCUGAAGCUUAUAUCGGAGCAGACAUUAAAGACAAAUUAAAAUGUUAUGACUUUGAUGUGCAUACAAUGAAGACACUAAAAAACAUUAUUUCACCUCCGUGGGAUUUCAGGGAAUUUGAAGUAGAAAAACAGACUGCAGAAGAAACGGGGCUUACGCCAUUGGAAACCUCAAGGAAAACUCCAGAUUCCAGACCUUCCUUGGAAGAAACCUUUGAAAUUGAAAUGAAUGAAAGUGACAUGAUGUUAGAGACGUCUAUGUCAGACCACAGCACGUGACUCCAGUCAGUGGUCCUGGUCCCGCUGUCCCGGUCGGUGUAGGUUAGUAUUCUCUCACAUCCUCUCCAUGGCUUAAGAACGUCCCACUUCCUAACGUGACUCCAAACUGCAUCUCUACAUUUAGGAACAGAGACCCGCCUUAAGAGACUGGAUCGCACACCUUUGCAACAGAUGUGUUCUGAUUCUCUGAACCUACAAAAUAGUUAUACGUAGUGGAAUAAAGAAGAGUCCCAUCCAGGCGCACAUUGCAUUUAGUCAUCCCGUCUCCUUUGCGGUCUCUCGCCUGUGACAGUUCCUCAGACUUCCCUUGUUUCUCAUGACCCUGACAGUUCUGAGGAGUACUGGCCAGGCAGUCUGAAGAAUGUCCCUCCAUUGGAGUUGGUCUGAUGUUUCUGAAGCACCUUUCUCAUCACAUCCUGCUGGGUGGUCGUAACCACCACACCAGCUAUCCCAGGCAGUGCUGACCUUGGCCACCUGGUCACGGUGUCUGCCAGGUUUCUCCACUGUCAAGUUCCUGUGUUUCCCUUUCCAUACUCUGUGGGUUGAGGAGGUUUAAGCUCCAACCCCGGGAGAGAGCAGUAUCUGUGCAUGUUAUUCUUCUUGAAGAUUUGCUUCUUCUCUCCUGUUUAUUCAGUCAUUUAUCAGUAUGGACUCGUGUACCUACAGGCAUGUCUUGGGGACAUUGCAGUUUUGGUUCCAAACUGGCGAAAUAAAGCAAAUACCACAAUAAAACAAGUUUCACAAAUUGUUUGGUUUCCCAGUACAUAUAAAAGUUACGUUUAUACUAUAGUCUAUUAAGUACGUAAUAGCAUUAUGUCCAAAAAACAGUAUACAUAGCUUAAUUUAAAAAUACUUUCAGGAAUUCGAGACC